UUUUGUGACUGAGCGGCGGACGGGUGAGUAACGCGUGGGUAACCUGCCUCAUACAGGGGGAUAACAGUUAGAAAUGGCUGCUAAUACCGCAUAAGACCACAGUACUGCAUGGUACAGUGGUAAAAACUCCGGUGGUAUGAGAUGGACCCGCGUCUGAUUAGGUAGUUGGUGAGGUAACGGCCCACCAAGCCGACGAUCAGUAGCCGACCUGAGAGGGUGACCGGCCACAUUGGGACUGAGACACGGCCCAGACUCCUACGGGAGGCAGCAGUGGGGAAUAUUGCACAAUGGGCGAAAGCCUGAUGCAGCGACGCCGCGUGAAGGAUGAAGUAUUUCGGUAUGUAAACUUCUAUCAGCAGGGAAGAUAAUGACGGUACCUGACUAAGAAGCUCCGGCUAAAUACGUGCCAGCAGCCGCGGUAAUACGUAUGGAGCAAGCGUUAUCCGGAUUUACUGGGUGUAAAGGGUGCGUAGGUGGCAGUGCAAGUCAGAUGUGAAAGGCCGGGGCUCAACCCCGGAGCUGCAUUUGAAACUGCUCGGCUAGAGUACAGGAGAGGCAGGCGGAAUUCCUAGUGUAGCGGUGAAAUGCGUAGAUAUUAG
rnacentral:rRNA from 1 species